rnacentral:rRNA from 1 species
AUACGUAGGUGGCAAGCGUUAUCCGGAAUUAUUGGGCGUAAAGAGGGAGCAGGCGGCAGCAAGGGUCUGUGGUGAAAGCCUGAAGCUUAACUUCAGUAAGCCAUAGAAACCAGGCAGCUAGAGUGCAGGAGAGGAUCGUGGAAUUCCAUGUGUAGCGGUGAAAUGCGUAGAUAUAUGGAGGAACACCAGUGGCGAAGGCGACGAUCUGGCCUGAAACUGACGCUCAGUCCCGAAAGCGUGGGGAGCAAAUAGGAUUAGAUACCCUAGUAGUCCACGCCGUAAACGAUGAGUACUAAGUGUUGGAUGUCAAAGUUCAGUGCUGCAGUUAACGCAAUAAGUACUCCGCCUGAGUAGUACGUUCGCAAGAAUGAAACUCAAAGGAAUUGACGGGG